UCUGUGACAAUCUUGCAUUUGGGGCUUACUUACUGUGUACUUGUUACACUUGUAAAGCCCCGGGAAGGUCUGAGAUGUGUCUUUAAUGCUCCAGAAGGGCGCUUGCAUUUUGCAAGGCGAGAACACCAGAAAUCUGCGAUGAGGUUUCAAAGCCAAGGAUUCGCUCUGGCGAUAGGUGGUGGAGCUUUAUCGUUGGAAUUUCUCGUGACCGGCUGUUUUAGUUCAAUUUGCGGGCUAGUGUUUUACUAGAACUCAAUUCAGACUAAUCUGUUACAGA
rnacentral:RNase_P_RNA from 15 species